GAAGAGUUUGAUCAUGGCUCAGAUUGAACGCUGGCGGCAGGCCUAACACAUGCAAGUCGAACGGUAACAGAAAGAAGCUUGCUUCUUUGCUGACGAGUGGCGGACGGGGGAGUAAUGUCUGGGAAACUGCCUGAUGGAGGGGGAUAACUACUGGAAACGGUAGCUAAUACCGCAUAAUGUCGCAAGACCAAAGAGGGGAACCUUCGGGCCUCUUGCCAUCGGAUGUGCCCAGAUGGGAUUAGCUUGUUGGUGGGGUAACGGCUCACCAAGGCGACGAUCCCUAGCUGGUCUGAGAGGAUGACCAGCCACACUGGAACUGAGACACGGUCCAGACUCCUACGGGAGGCAGCAGUGGGGAAUAUUGCACAAUGGGCGCAAGCCUGAUGCAGCCAUGCCGCGUGUAUGAAGAAGGCCUUCGGGUUGUAAAGUACUUUCAGCGGGGAGGAAGGGAG
rnacentral:rRNA from 1 species